AUUCAGCUGACGAGUCCCAAGUAGGACGAAAAAUCCUUCCUAAAU
rnacentral:hammerhead_ribozyme from 1 species